rnacentral:other from 1 species
AGAAUCCUGCCCGGCUCGACUUGUUGCGGUUUAUAUGAUCCUACUAAUCAAUCAUUGGGAGCUUGGCGUCCGCCGGCAGAUUGCAGACCUCCCCGUUAGGGCUCGACCCUAGAGGCUCGAUGAGGAAGCGCGAAACCGGCGGCAGGGCACCCACCUGUCCGUAAGGGUAGGUUUGAUUAGCCGCAGACGACCGGGCGGGAUUUUC